GGUUCUUUCGGGAACUGGAGAGUGGCGCACGGGUGAGUAACGCGUGGGGACCUACCUCUUAGUGGGGGAUAACGGUUGGAAACGACCGCUAAUACCGCAUACGCCCUUCGGGGGAAAGAUUUAUCGCUAAGAGAUGGACCCGCGUUGGAUUAGAUAGUUGGUAAGGUAACGGCUUACCAAGGCGACGAUCUCUAGCUGUUCUGAGAGGAAGAUCAGCCACACUGGGACUGAGACACGGCCCAGACUCCUACGGGAGGCAGCAGUGGGGAAUAUUGCACAAUGGGGGAAACCCUGAUGCAGCCAUGCCGCGUGUGUGAAGAAGGCCUUCGGGUUGUAAAGCACUUUCAGUUGUGAGGAAAAGUUAGUAGUUAAUACCUGCUAGCCGUGACGUUAACAACAGAAGAAGCACCGGCUAACUCCGUGCCAGCAGCCGCGGUAAUACGGAGGGUGCGAGCGUUAAUCGGAAUUACUGGGCGUAAAGCGCACGCAGGCGGUUUGUUAAGCUAGAUGUGAAAGCCCCG
rnacentral:rRNA from 2 species